rnacentral:tRNA from 1 species
GGUCCGGUAGUUCAGUUUGGUUAGAAUGCAUGCCUGUCACGCAUGAGGUCGCGGGUUCGAGCCCCGUCCGGACCGCAA